GGUUAAGCGACUAAGCGUACACGGUGGAUGCCCUGGCAGUCAGAGGCGAUGAAGGACGUGCUAAUCUGCGAAAAGCGUCGGUAAGGUGAUAUGAACCGUUAUAGCCGGCGAUGUCCGAAUGGGGAAACCCAGUGCAAUUCGUUGCACUAUCGUUAACUGAAUACAUAGGUUAACGAGGCGAACCGGGGGAACUGAAACAUCUAAGUACCCCGAGGAAAAGAAAUCAACCGAGAUUCCCCCAGUAGCGGCGAGCGAACGGGGAGCAGCCCAGAGUCUGAAUCAGCUUGUGUGUUAGUGGAACGGUCUGGAAAGUCCGACGGUACAGGGUGAUAGUCCCGUACACCAAAAUGCACAGGCUGUGAACUCGAAGAGUAGGGCGGGACACGUGGUAUCCUGUCUGAAUAUGGGGGGACCAUCCUCCAAGGCUAAAUACUCCUGACUGACCGAUAGUGAACCAGUACCGUGAGGGAAAGGCGAAAAGAACCCCGGCGAGGGGAGUGAAAAAGAACCUGAAACCGUGUACGUACAAGCAGUGGGAGCCCCACCACUAAGCCAGUGGUGAACUCCACAUAUGCAUCCUUUGCUGAAGGUGCGGUUAACGGAGCGUAAGCGACGUUCAACCUCAAAAGAAGCAGAGGGGGCUUAGUGGUGGGGUGACUGCGUACCUUUUGUAUAAUGGGUCAGCGACUUAUAUUCUGUAGCAAGGUUAACCGUAUAGGGGAGCCGCAGGGAAACCGAGUCUUAACUGGGCGUUAAGUUGCAGGGUAUAGACCCGAAACCCGGUGAUCUAGCCAUGGGCAGGUUGAAGGUUGGGUAACACUAACUGGAGGACCGAACCGACUAAUGUUGAAAAAUUAGCGGAUGACUUGUGGCUGGGGGUGAAAGGCCAAUCAAACCGGGAGAUAGCUGGUUCUCCCCGAAAGCUAUUUAGGUAGCGCCUCGUGAACUCAUCUUCGGGGGUAGAGCACUGUUUCGGCUAGGGGGCCAUCCCGGCUUACCAACCCGAUGCAAACUACGAAUACCGAAGAAUGUUAUCACGGGAGACACACGGCGGGUGCUAACGUCCGUCGUGAAGAGGGAAACAACCCAGACCGCCAGCUAAGGUCCCAAAGUCAUGGUUAAGUGGGAAACGAUGUGGGAAGGCACAGACAGCCAGGAUGUUGGCUUAGAAGCAGCCAUCAUUUAAAGAAAGCGUAAUAGCUCACUGGUCGAGUCGGCCUGCGCGGAAGAUGUAACGGGGCUAAACCAUGCACCGAAGCUGCGGCAGCGACACUAUGUGUUGUUGGGUAGGGGAGCGUUCUGUAAGCCUGCGAAGGUGACCUGUGAGGGUUGCUGGAGGUAUCAGAAGUGCGAAUGCUGACAUAAGUAACGAUAAAGCGGGUGAAAAGCCCGCUCGCCGGAAGACCAAGGGUUCCUGUCCAACGUUAAUCGGGGCAGGGUGAGUCGACCCCUAAGGCGAGGCCGAAAGGCGUAGUCGAUGGGAAACAGGUUAAUAUUCCUGUACUUGGUGUUACUGCGAAGGGGGGACGGAGAAGGCUAUGUUAGCCGGGCGACGGUUGUCCCGGUUUAAGCAUGUAGGCUGGUUAUCCAGGCAAAUCCGGAUAAUCAAGGCUGAGGUGUGAUGACGAGGCACUACGGUGCUGAAGUAACAAAUGCCCUGCUUCCAGGAAAAGCCUCUAAGCAUCAGGUAACAUCAAAUCGUACCCCAAACCGACACAGGUGGUCAGGUAGAGAAUACCAAGGCGCUUGAGAGAACUCGGGUGAAGGAACUAGGCAAAAUGGUGCCGUAACUUCGGGAGAAGGCACGCUGGUGUGUAGGUGAAGUCCCUGCGGAUGGAGCUGAGACCAGUCGAAGAUACCAGCUGGCUGCAACUGUUUAUUAAAAACACAGCACUGUGCAAACACGAAAGUGGACGUAUACGGUGUGACGCCUGCCCGGUGCCGGAAGGUUAAUUGAUGGGGUUAUCCGUAAGGAGAAGCUCUUGAUCGAAGCCCCGGUAAACGGCGGCCGUAACUAUAACGGUCCUAAGGUAGCGAAAUUCCUUGUCGGGUAAGUUCCGACCUGCACGAAUGGCGUAAUGAUGGCCGGGCUGUCUCCACCCGAGACUCAGUGAAAUUGAACUCGCUGUGAAGAUGCAGUGUACCCGCGGCAAGACGGAAAGACCCCGUGAACCUUUACUAUAGCUUGACACUGAACAUUGAGCCUUGAUGUGUAGGAUAGGUGGGAGGCUUUGAAGCGUGGACGCCAGUCUGCGUGGAGCCAACCUUGAAAUACCACCCUUUAAUGUUUGAUGUUCUAACGUUGGCCCCUUAUCGGGGUUGCGGACAGUGUCUGGUGGGUAGUUUGACUGGGGCGGUCUCCUCCCAAAGCGUAACGGAGGAGCACGAAGGUUAGCUAAUCCUGGUCGGACAUCAGGAGGUUAGUGCAAUGGCAUAAGCUAGCUUGACUGCGAGCGUGACGGCGCGAGCAGGUGCGAAAGCAGGUCAUAGUGAUCCGGUGGUUCUGAAUGGAAGGGCCAUCGCUCAACGGAUAAAAGGUACUCCGGGGAUAACAGGCUGAUACCGCCCAAGAGUUCAUAUCGACGGCGGUGUUUGGCACCUCGAUGUCGGCUCAUCACAUCCUGGGGCUGAAGUAGGUCCCAAGGGUAUGGCUGUUCGCCAUUUAAAGUGGUACGCGAGCUGGGUUUAGAACGUCGUGAGACAGUUCGGUCCCUAUCUGCCGUGGGCGCUGGAGAAUUGAGGGGGGCUGCUCCUAGUACGAGAGGACCGGAGUGGACGCAUCACUGGUGUUCGGGUUGUCAUGCCAAUGGCACUGCCCGGUAGCUAAAUGCGGAAGAGAUAAGUGCUGAAAGCAUCUAAGCACGAAACUUGCCCCGAGAUGAGUUCUCCCUGAGACUUUAAGUCUCCUGAAGGAACGUUGAAGACGACGACGUUGAUAGGCCGGGUGUGUAAGCGCAGCGAUGCGUUGAGCUAACCGGUACUAAUGAACCGUGAGGCUUAACCUU
rnacentral:rRNA from 1 species